rnacentral:lncRNA from 1 species
UCACACCAGAGGUUGUGUCCGUUCCAGACACAGUGUAGGUUCUGUAGGGUGUCACACCAGAGGUUGUGUCGGAUUCAGACACCACGUACGUUCGUUGUCUAGGUGCUCCCCAGUGUGCUGGAAUUAUAAUGAAGAAUAAAAAACAUAUCAGGAGAGAAUCUACUUUCAUUGGAAACACCUCUCACAAAGGUACCUAUGUGAAGUACUUAUAAGUGAUUGCUUCUUGUUUUAAAUGCUUAUUUGAAACACACGGCACCUGGAGAGAAAUGUUAAUCUUUAAUAAAGAAUUGACAUAAGCACAUAUAUGCCACUUUAGGAAGGUUUGGAAAACAAUAACACUUUAUGCAAAGUGAAACAAAUACUUACAGACAUCUUUUACCCCCCCUCAUCUUUAGAAUUGUUUGAGUGUGUUUUUUUCAUCAAGCAAAUAAACUUAUUCUAGCCUCCCUGACAGAAAUUUUAAUUCCUGUGCUAGCUUUCACCAUGCCCUUUCUCCACUGACAAAAGUCGCAGAAGAUUUCCGUUAGCACCUGUUGUAUUACUCCAUUAUAUAAAUACUGCUGUAUUUGCCUACAGAAUCCGUACAGCAUGAAGGGAAAUGCUGGCUGGGAAUCCACAUCCAUGAGACUUUAACUGCACUGAAAUCAGACUCACCAGCUGGAGCAGGACCACGAGGUGUACUGGUUCCAUGGGGUAAGAAUGGAAGCUUAAAAGAAUCUGUUCAGAGAAGGUAAAUUUACUUCAGAGACGGUAAGUUUUAAGAACAAGGACAUGCAGAGAACUGAAACGGAUCUGGUUGCAAGGAAAGGCUGUGUCACUUCAAGACACAGUGUAGGUUCUGUAGGGUGACGCACCAGAGGUUGUGUCCGUUCCAGACACAGUGUAGGUUCUGUAGGGUGUCACACCAGAGGUUGUGUCCAUUCCAGACAUAGUGUAGGUUCUGUAGGGUGUCACACCAGAGGUUGUGUCCGUUCCAGACAUAGUUGUAGGUUCUGUAGGGUGACGCACCAGAGGUUGUGUCCGUUCCAGACACAGUGUAGGUUCUGUAGGGUGUCACACCAGAGGUUGUGUCGGAUUCAGACACCACGUACGUUCGUUGUCUAGGUGCUCCCCAGUGUGCUGGAAUUAUAAUGAAGAAUAAAAAACAUAUCAGGAGACA